rnacentral:rRNA from 1 species
AGCAGCCGCGGUAAUUCCAGCUCCAAUAGCGUAUAUUAAAGUUGUUGCAGUUAAAAAGCUCGUAGUUGAAUUUCGGGGUUAGUAGGUCGGUCAUGCCUCUGGUAUGCGCUGGUCUCACUGAUUCCUCCUUCCUGAUGAGCCGUAAUGCCAUUAAUUUGGUGUUGCGGGGAAUCUGGACUGUUACUUUGAAAAAAUUAGAGUGUUUAAAGCAGGCUAACGCUUGAAUACAUUAGCAUGGAAUAAUGGAAUAGGACGUUCGAUCCUAUUUUGUUGGUUUCUAGGAUUGACGUAAUGAUUAAUAGGGAUAGUUGGGGGCAUUAGUAUUCAAUUGUCAGAGGUGAAAUUCUUGGAUUUAUUGAAGACUAACUACUGCGAAAGCAUUUGCCUAAGGAUGUUUUCAUUAAUACAAGAACGAAAGUUAGGGGAUCGAAGACGAUCAGAUACCGUCGUAGUCUUAACCAUAAAC